rnacentral:lncRNA from 1 species
AAAAUGACAGGAGUAAGUCCUCACCUGUCAAUAAUAACCUAAAACAUAAAUGGAUUAAAUCCCCCAUUUAAAAUAUGUAGACUCGGUGGAUCAUGGCAGACAGGAUACAGAACUAGAUUGCAGCUCUGCAAGAGCAGCAUGCAGAGGCUUGCAUUAUGAAUUUUAGCUCCAGAUCAACUACAAGAACAGACCAGCAAUGCUGAGAGGACCCACAGACCCUCUGAAGGAAGCAGACUGCUCCUGCAGGACCUGGGAGACACCCCAAAUACUGUGAGUGCCCCAACCGCGGAAGUGGGAAACGGAGACCCUCCUCUCCUGGACACACACCCCCACUGGAGAAGCUGAAGGUCUGUUUGUGGGAGAAGUUCCCGACCUUACCUGGAGCUGAGCCAAGUUAGAGACUCGAGCUGAGCGAAAUACAGGGGUAGAGGAAGUAGCAGAAAGGCACUGGGAGCUCACUGGAUCCCCAAGCAGCCCAUUCCUGCCUGGCACCACAGGGAUCCAUCAGGACGGCGGCCAGAGGAGCAGGAGGGAUGUGGAUGCAAUGUGAACAUAAAAGAUUGCCUUCUUAUGGAAACUGCAGCUAAGUACAGGCCAGGUGUGGUGGCUCACGCCUGUAAUUCAAGCCUUUGGGAGGCUGAGGCAGGAUGAUGACUUGAGGCCAGCAGUUCAAGACCAGCCUGAGCAACAUAGCAAGAUCCCUCUCUAUAAAAAAAAUAAAAAUUAAAAAUAAAGUAAUGGUGUUUUA